rnacentral:rRNA from 1 species
GGCGAGUGAAGCGGCAAAAGCUCAAAUUUGAAAUCUAGCACUUUCAGUGUUCGAGUUGUAAUUUGAAGAAAGUCUCCUUGAAUAGUCCUUUAUCUAUGUUCCUUGGAACAGGACGUCAUAGAGGGUGAGAACCCCGUAUGAUUUUGGAUCCUAUUCUCUGUGGGAGUCUUUCGAAGAGUCGAGUUGUUUGGGAAUGCAGCUCUAAGUGGGUGGUAAAUUCCAUCUAAAGCUAAAUAUUGGCGAGAGACCGAUAGCGAACAAGUACAGUGAUGGAAAGAUGAAAAGAACUCUGAAGAGAGAGUGAAAAAGUACGUGAAAUUGCUGAAAGGGAAGGGCUUGAGGUCAGACUUGGUGUUUAAUGAUUAUCUUCUUUUCUUAAGUUGUGCACUCGUUUUUCACUGGGCCAAUAUCAGUUUUUGUAGUAGAGCACCUCUUGAAAUGUGAUUUCCUUCGGGGAGUGUUAUAGUCUUGAGACGAUCUACUACGGGGACUGAGGACUGCGCGUUAUGCUAGGAUAUUGGCGUAAUGACCUUAAGCCGCCCGUCUUGAACCACGGACCAA